AUCCCGUAGGCCGUACCCUACUAAUCUCCGCUUCAUUACCUCCAACUCCGACCACCCUCCGCCCUGGCUGGUCGUUCGCCGGAGAGAGCUACGCGGGCGGCUCUCCUGAUGACUGCUAAUGCGUGCGGCCUGCGUAACGCUCUCAAGGUGUGCCUUUCCUCUCCACUCGUUCACUCUCACUGUACUUCGCUUACUUCACAAAUCCUAGUUUCUUGCACUCUCACUCUUGCCCCCAAAACCCUAACCUCCCGUCUUACACACUGUUUUUUCAGUUCUUUAUCCUCUCGUGUAUAUCAAGAUUGUGAUUCUCUUGAGCAAUUUUUACCGUUUCCGAUUCAUAAUUUAUCAGAUUCUUCGAGUUCUGUAAUAAACUCGAAUGAACGGCGAAUAGUUGUUGUCGGCUUAGCAAAGAUGAUAAAACGAGAUCAAGGUUACGUUUUGAUGGGAUUUUCUAAGAAUUUUGACUCAUUUUUUCUUGCAAAGAUUAUGAAAAUGUUACGAGGCCGGCAAGCUGCACUUGCAUUUUUCAAAUUUGUGUUUAGGGAUGAUUCGGAGGGGGCCGUACGGUCUUGUUGUGUGGCAGCGCAUCUUUUGGCUGCUGAUGGGAUGAGGUUCUUGGCGCAGGACCUGCUCUCGUGGCUGGUUGUGAGAAUUGGGUUUCGUAGGAGUGGGGAGGUUGUAGAGUUUAUGUGGAGGGAGCACAAUAAAUAUGAGCCCGCUUUCUCGGUUCUUGAUUCACUUAUGCGGGCUUUUGUGAAUGCAGAAAUGGCAUCACGCGCUGUGGAGAUGGUGGAUAGGAUGAGAGAGGUUGGAUUGGUGCCCAGCUUGUCAGCAGUUGCGGUUCUUUUCAAAUUUUUGCUUAGGAUUGGUGAUUAUGGUAGUGUGUGGAAGUUGUUUAGGGAUAUGGUUGGGAAAGGACCUUGCCCUUCAAAUUAUAUAUUCAAUGUGAUGAUCCUAGGGUUUUUCAGAAAGGGCUAUCUGCAAAUUGGAGAGAAUUUAUUUCAUAUUAUGACAAGGUUUCGAUGUGUACCUGAUGUCUACACCUAUAACAUUUUGAUCAAUGCCUACUGUGUAAGGGGGCAAACACCUACUGCAUUGGCUUUGUUACAUGUGAUGGUUGAAAGGGGAUGUAAUCCCAGUGAUAUUACAUUUUAUACAAUAAUCAAUGGCAUGUGUAAGGAGGGUAAUGUUGUGGAAGCAAGAAAGCUCUUCAAUGCAAUUGAAGAGAUGGGUGUCUUUCGAAGCACUGGAAUAUAUAACACUCUAAUGGACGGGUUUGUCAAGUCUGGGGACAUUGGUCAGGCAAACAAGCUUUAUGAAGAAAUGAGGAUCAAGGCUGUGCCUCCUGAUAUUGUAACUUUCAACAUUUUGGUUGCCGGACAUUACAAAUAUGGAAAGGAAGAAGAUGGUGACAGGUUGUUAAGGGACUUUUCCUUGUCGGGGUUCCUUCCAGACUGUUCACUAUCUGAUAUGUCUGUAGCAGGAUUAUGUUGGAUGGGACGGUUAGAUGAGGCUAUGGAAGUCUUGGAGAAUUUGCUUGAGAAAGGGAUGAAUCUCAGUGUAUUUGCUUUUAACACUAUAAUUGCAGCUUACAGCAAUGCAGGGCUUGACGACAGGGCCUUUGAAGCCUACAAAAUUAUGGUGCAAUUUGGUCAGAGUCCAUCUUCUUCCACAUGUAGUUCUCUCGUUAUGGCUUUGUGCAGAAAAAGUAGGUUGCAAGAAGCAAGGGAGCUUGUAAAUGUAAUGGCAGAGCAGGGUUUUCCUGUCAAUGCAGUGGCUUUCACUGUGCUUUUAAAUGGGUAUUUAAAAACAGGGAAGAUACUGGAAGCUAAAAUUUUGUGGGAAGAGAUGGGAAAGAGAGGUAUCUCUCCUGAUGUUGUUGCUUUCUCAGCCUUGAUCGAUGGACUUUCUAAAGCAGGUUUUGUUGAUGAGGCAUAUGACGUAUUUUUGGAAAUGCUGGAGAAAGGGUUUGUGCCAAAUAAUUAUUCAUACAAUUCAUUGAUUGGUGGGUUUUGUAAUUGUGGAAGAUUGAGUGAUGCGUUGGAGUUGGAGAAGGAGAUGAAGCAAAGAGGUCUUCUUCCUGAUAACUUCACUGCUAAUAUCAUCAUUAACGGACUCUGCAAACAUGGCAGAAUGCAAUCAGCAAUUGAUACUUUUACAGAUAUGUACCGAGCAGGGUUGAGACCAGAUAUUUGUACUUACAACACUUUGAUCAGUGGGUACUGUAAAGAAGUUGGCAUGCUUAAUGCAAAUGAAUUUUUGAAUAAAAUGUAUGCUAAUGGGUUGUACCCUGAUGUUACAACUUAUAAUAUCUAUAUCCAUUCUUUUUGUAUUAGGAGGAGAAUGAAUCAAGCUGUAAUGAUGUUGGACGAGCUUAUUUCAGCAGGUGUUGCUCCAAAUACAGUUACAUACAACACCAUGAUGAAUGGUGUUUGUAAUGACAUACUGGAUCGGGCCAUGAUCUUGACUGCAAAAUUGCUUAAGAUGCCUUUUGUUCCAAAUACUGUCACUGUUAACCUGUUGCUGUCUCAUCUUUACAAGGAAGGGUAUCCAGAGAGGACCUUGAUGUGGGGUCAGAAGUUGAAUGAGAUUUGCUUUGACUUUGACAGAAUAACUUAUAAAGUACUUGACACAGCAUAUCGUAACAGCCAAGAGAAAACUCAGCAUUAUGUUAGAGGGACAUCUGGAAAGAGCCUCUUCAUAGACUUCCUCAUGUACAUUACUUAUGACUAUUUGCGUAGAUAUAGAACCCUUGUUGAAACAAGUCAAUAUUCUUUUCAACUGAUUGAUAGUGGGUUCAACAGAUCAUGCAAAGACAAAAAUAGAGCAAGUUUGUAGAACUUUGAAUGUAAAGAACUUAACCAUGAAUGUGGUACAUGCCACUGACGGUUUUUUACAUUUACUGGUGAAGUAGGGGUUAGCAUUACUUGUGAGAACUACUGGAGGCAUUGGCUUGAGAUGCAUUAUUGAAGAACAGGUGGAAUAGAAAUUAAUGGUUCUUAAAGGACAGAAGGCAGGCAAAGGAGUGGGUUUUGAGUCUACAAGAACAGUCAUUAUGCCCUAUGAUUUGACUGUGCAUGUGAUCUUAUAUAGAGCAAAAACAGCAACCAAGGAUUUAUCUUGCCGGAUCCAUAUGCAGCUUUGUAGAGAUGAGUUGAACUGGUAGAAGCGCAAUGCCAUUUUGGCUCAAGAAAUGAAGUUCACAUCCGUUUGUAAUGUUGGGAAUGCUAACACCAACUUUCUGUAAUCUCAAAGGGGGAUGACAUGCAACUGUGAUUUUAUGUUCACAGUUGAACUGAAGGUAAAUACACAACGAUGUCUGCAGAGUUAACCUUAAGGUGGAAAGCAAAAUUUUUCUUUUUGCCUUCAGAAAUGAAGAGAUAUCUGCUGGUGCUGGAAUUCUGUUUCCUGGACUACCUGACAUUGUGCAAGGAACAUGGUUGGUGGAGAACAUGGGAGUUUGGACUUAGGAGAAGCUUCACAAGUAGACAAUUUGUAUACUAGUAGCUCACCUUGCAGGUAAAAGAAUAAUAGCAUUGAGAUAUGAAGCCAAAACUGAGUGCAUAUUUUAUUCAUUUGGCAUUGCAGGACCAUGAUAGGCAUGGCUCAUUUUUUUGCUGUGAAUGAAUUAAUGGUACAUCUUUUAAUCUGCACAUCAUAUAUUCAUAUCAUAUAGGCACUUAUUAGCAAUUACAAUUGUGACAUCUGAGUCUCAAUUGAGUGUACACCUUGCCAGUUCAAAUCUCUUCUGCUAACAAAAGUGAUUUAAGGUUUCUAUGAUCUUUAAGGUUAUCUCCUUUCAUUUGGCAAUGAAUUCAUUAGCUGGUUUAUUUUCACUUUGCUAACACUUGUUACAGUAUUGAUGCUUGUAAGAACAAUAUAGUAGCUUUGUUCUUCUAAUUUUCAGUUAGUAACACACGUCUGCAAGUAAAACGUCUGAAUGCUGGUUAACAUUUUUUUUAGAUACUGUAAAAUUGUAGGUUUCCUCAUGUUUAUGUGCUUGGAAUUGUUAUGCAGUGCUGGAACAUAACAGGAUAUGAACUGCUGCAGAAGCAGCUAAUGUCUCUAUAAGAACUUGGGUGGUUUAGUUGCAGAAGUUUUGUUCUUCACCAGGCCUGGGCAUUUGUUGCUACUGCAAGUGAUAUUAUGAAGUGGACCAUGGACGGUUUACUUGCUGAGCUGCAGGGCAGGUGGGAUGGCUGGUUAUAAAGACAAUGUAGAAGGCAUCUCCAAUGUACAAGGUUACUCGUUUUGCAUAGGUCAGGAAGAAUUAUUAUUGUACAUAACAUUACCCAUGCCCUUGCUCUUUUUUCCAAGAGAUUGUUUUAUAACUCGAGUUCGCGACCCUCCAAUCACAAAAGAGCAACACAAUUUUGUUGAUCAAUCAAUGCUAAAUUGUUAAUGUAGUGCUAAACUAUGCAUAUUUGCUCCUUUUUUUUUUUAAUUCUUUUAGAUCAUUAGAAAUAACAUAUUUGUCAUUAACUUGAGCUCGCAACUUAAUUAUUGUCAAAGAUUAACCUAUUAAUUGCUAUUAAAGCUCAUUAUAGUAAUUCUAUUUUGUUUGCAAUGUCUUUUUUUUUUUCAUGGUAUUUGCAAUGUCUUUCAUAUGAUCAGCGUGCAUAUCACCAUACCACAGUUUGAAGCUGGAAACCUUCAGCUUCUGAUGAACCUGCUGUAGUAUCAGGAAAGUUGCAGAGUAAAACAAAAUUCUGUGCAUAAGUUUCCAGGUUAAUAUACCACCUAGACACGGCGAUAGAUAUAGAUGAUUGUCAUGUACCUAGGGUUUACCUAAGGUUUGGAUUGGAAAUUGAGAAGAAUAAGGGGAGGUUUAGCAGAAGAAUAGGGAGAAUCAAAAGAACAAGAAGUGAGGGAGAGGAAAAUCGAGAGAGAGAGAGAGAGAGAGAGAGAGAAUUAAUUGGAGGGAAAUC